rnacentral:rRNA from 1 species
UACGGAGGGAGCUAGCGUUGUUCGGAAUUACUGGGCGUAAAGCGCGCGUAGGCGGCUUUGUAAGUUAGAGGUGAAAGCCCGGGGCUCAACCCCGGAACUGCCUUUAAGACUGCAUCGCUUGAAUCCAGGAGAGGUGAGUGGAAUUCCGAGUGUAGAGGUGAAAUUCGUAGAUAUCCGGAAGAACACCAGUGGCGAAGGCGGCUCACUGGACUGGUAUUGACGCUGAUGUGCGAAAGCGUGGGGAGCAAACAGG